rnacentral:lncRNA from 1 species
UUUGGAGAUCAUAGCAUGAGGUCAGUUUAGCAAGCAUGGUGAGCAAACAUGAGUAGGUGGCGUUGGGGAAGAAAGCUUCAAAGAUGAUUUUUUUCUGUUUUUCUCCUUCCAUAAAAUCCAACAAAUAGAUGCGACUACCAUGUCCCAGAUUUAAGGACUGAUACUAUUGGGGAUUAUUCGUUUAUGAUCAUUCCAUAACUGA